rnacentral:rRNA from 1 species
GAUGAACGCUGGCGGCGUGCUUAAUACAUGCAAGUCGAACGAACAGGCGAGUACUUUCCGGGGCUCUCGAUUGCCGCACACGGGUGAAACACGCGUGGGUACCGUCCCUCUCAUAGGGAGAAACCUGCGGGACUCGGGCUCAUAUCGCAUAGAAUGUUUUUAUGCAUGUGAUUCUGUAAUGAAAUUCGGUUUUGGUGGCACUUAUAGCCUGUUCCGCGGCGGAUGGGGUAGUUGGUAAGGUAACGGCUUACCAAGGGAACGAUGCGUAGCCAACCUGAGAGGGUGAACGGCCACACUGGAACUGAGACGCGGCCCAGACUCCUACGGGAGGCAGCAGUAGGGAAUCUUGCGCAAUGGGCGAAAGACUGACGGAGCAACGCCGCGUGGGUGAUGAAGGUCUUCGGAUCGGAAAACUCUGUUAUUAGGGAAGAACAAAUGUGUAAGUAACUAUGCACGUCUUGACGGUACCUAGUCAGAAAGCACCGGCUAACUACGUG